rnacentral:rRNA from 1 species
CACGUAGGGUGCGAGCGUUGUCCGGAAUUAUUGGGCGUAAAGAGCUCGUAGGCGGUGUGUCGCGUCGGCCGUGAAAACCUGCAGCUUAACUGUGGGCUUGCGGUCGAUACGGGCAUCACUGGAGUUCGGCAGGGGAGACUGGAAUUCCUGGUGUAGCGGUGAAAUGCGCAGAUAUCAGGAGGGAACACCGGUGGCGAAGGCGGGUCUCUGGGCCGAUACUGAC